AAAUUUAUUCACGAAUUAUCAAUGAGUUUGAGAAGUAAUAUUGAAUUAAAAUCCGACUAUGAGGACUGUACUAGAUUUCAAGUCCGCGCAAUUUGAUAAGUUCAAGGCGAAGCCGAGGACAGGAGCGGACUUAAAAUCUAGUACAGUCUUGAAUUGGAGGAUUUGAAAUAACAUCUCAUCCAUUCCAAGGACUGAAUUAAUUUUGAUCCAGUCCUAUGACUGCAUCAAUAUAUACUUCACCAAGUAUCCAGUAUUAUCAUGUGAGCAAAAUAUAGCAAUAUGGUUGGCUAAUUUACUCAUGAAUUAUUAAUGAGUUUGAGAUAACUAAUUCUAAUGGUCUAGACCUUACCUAUGUCCUGAUAUAAUCCAUUUUGAGCUUAAUCAAUACAUUAAUUAAAUCUAAUCAAAAUCCUUAAAAUUGUCGAGUUCUUUCACUUC